UGUAACUGUACAUAUAGUUAUGUAUUGUGUCAUACGUAUAUUUGUUUUGGGAAAUUUUAUAUCAAAAACAUAUCCAUCUGCAUAUUUUUAUGUGAGUGACGCCAACAAUACUUGGGUUAAGGCUGCCAAUAACUGUAUAGACGGCUGGAAAUUGUCUGGGAAAGACUUAUUCAAUUCUUGUCGUUCAGAUACGUGUAAUUCUAGUAAGGCCAAUGAUGUUUUGCGAAAUGUAAAAAUCAAACCGCCCUUUCUUUGGAUAGAUGGCUACGCAGUACGAUCACCUAUAAUGGAAUAUUACGAGUGUAUAAGUUUAACCGACGUCAACAGUACAGCAAAUGCAUUAACGAAAAAGAAAAAACUUGUGAAUAAUGGUGUUGGAAAGUGUGCAUUAUUUUGUAUUCAAGAUGGAUACUUAAAGAAUGAAGACUUCAUUUUACUACAGAGUGAUACUUGCUACUGUUUACCGCUUGCAACAGAACAACUGUGGAAGGCACAAAUCAUGAAAAUGCAGAUGAUUUCUACCAAAACCUGCAAUAUACGAUGUGACGAAGACAAGUUUGACAGAUGUGGUGGCAAAAAUGAUAUUUUUUCAGCGUAUAAGCUUAAAGAGAUAGG